AGCCUGAUGUAGUGGGGCCGAGUGGGGGAUGGAGGUUCACGGGUUGUAAACCCCUUUCGUCGCGGGACAGGGCUCCAUUUGGCGGGGUUGAGAGUACGAGUCAAAGAAGCGCCGCGAUAAUUUCGUGCCAGCAGCCGCGUUAAUAUGUAGGGCGCGAGCGUUGUCCGAAAUUAUUGGGCGUAAAGAGCUUGUAGGAGGCUUGUCGUGUCUGCUGUGAAAACGCGGGUCUCAAAUCCGCGCGUAAAGUGGGUACGGGCAGGGUGGAGUGCGGCAGGGGAGGCUGGAAUUCCUGGUAUAGCGGGGGAAUGCGCAGAUAUCAUGAAGAACACCGAUGGCGAAGGCAGGCCUAAGGGCCGUCAUUGACAAGAGGAGCGAAAGCGUGGGGAGCGAACAGG
rnacentral:rRNA from 1 species